GUGUUGAAGCAGCUCACAGGGGACUACCUAUUGUGACUGUCAUUCCAACCUUUCCCAAAGAUGUCCAGUCGAGACUUGACAUCAAGGAACCAUGUCACACAGUGCCAAAAGUAUCCAACUAAUGCAGAGUAUAUUCAAGUUGCCAAGGCACUGAUAGUGAAAUACCCUUUCCUGAGGGAUAAGGAGGGAAAUGGCUAUCACACCUGGCACAUGUCUUUAAAGCGUAAAUUUAAAGC